UACAGAGGUCCCAAGCGUUGUUCGGAUUCAUUGGGCGUAAAGGGGGUGUAGGUGGCGCCGUUAGUCGGGUGUGAAAUUUCGGAGCUUAACUCCGAAACUGCAUUCGAUACUGCGGUGCUUGAGGACUGGAGAGGAGACUGGAAUUCAUGGUGUAGCAGUGAAAUGCGUAGAGAUCAUGAGGAAGACCAGUGGCGAAGGCGGGUCUCUGGACAGUUCCUGACACUGAGACACGAAGGCCAGGGGAGCAAACGGG
rnacentral:rRNA from 1 species